CGGCGUGCUUAACACAUGCAAGUCGAACGAGAAUCUGCGGAUCGAGGAUUCGUCCAAGUGAAGUAGAGGACAGUGGCGGACGGGUGAGUAACGCGUGAGGAACCUGCCUUUCAGAGGGGGACAACAGUUGGAAACGACUGCUAAUACCGCAUGACACAUUGGGGUCGCAUGGCCCUGAUGUCAAAGAUUUAUCGCUGAAAGAUGGCCUCGCGUCUGAUUAGCUAGUUGGUGAGGUAACGGCCCACCAAGGCGACGAUCAGUAGCCGGACUGAGAGGUUGACCGGCCACAUUGGGACUGAGAUACGGCCCAGACUCCUACGGGAGGCAGCAGUGGGGAAUAUUGGGCAAUGGGCGCAAGCCUGACCCAGCAACGCCGCGUGAAGGAAGAAGGCUUUCGGGUUGUAAACUUCUUUUGUCAGGGACGAGUAGAAGACGGUACCUGACGAAUAAGCCACGGCUAACUACGUGCCAGCAGCCGCGGUAAUACGUAGGUGGCAAGCGUUGUCCGGAUUUACUGGGUGUAAAGGGCGUGUAGCCGGGAAGGCAAGUCAGAUGUGAAAUCCACGGGCUCAACUCGUGAACUGCAUUUGAAACUGUUUUUCUUGAGUAUCGGAGAGGCAAUCGGAAUUCCUAGUGUAGCGGUGAAAUGCGUAGAUAUUAGGAGGAACACCAGUGGCGA
rnacentral:rRNA from 1 species